AUUGAACGCUGGCGGCAGGCCUAACACAUGCAAGUCGAGCGGUAGAGAGGAGCUUGCUCCUCUUGAGAGCGGCGGACGGGUGAGUAAUGCCUAGGAAUCUGCCUGGUAGUGGGGGAUAACGUUCGGAAACGGACGCUAAUACCGCAUACGUCCUACGGGAGAAAGCAGGGGACCUUCGGGCCUUGCGCUAUCAGAUGAGCCUAGGUCGGAUUAGCUAGUUGGUGAGGUAAUGGCUCACCAAGGCGACGAUCCGUAACUGGUCUGAGAGGAUGAUCAGUCACACUGGAACUGAGACACGGUCCAGACUCCUACGGGAGGCAGCAGCGGGGAAUAUUGGGCAAUGGGCGAAAGCCUGAUCCAGCCAUGCCGCGUGUGUGAAGAAGGUCUUCGGAUUGUAAAGCACUUUAAGUUGGGAGGAAGGGCAGUAAAUUAAUACUUUGCUGUUUUGACGUUACCGACAGAAUAAGCACCGGCUAACUCUGUGCCAGCAGCCGCGGUAAUACAGAGGGUGCAAGCGUUAAUCGGAAUUACUGGGCGUAAAGCGCGCGUAGGUGGUUUGUUAAGUUGGAUGUGAAAUCCCCGGGCUCAACCUGGGAACUGCAUUCAAAACUGACUGACUAGAGUAUGGUAGAGGGUGGUGGAAUUUCCUGUGUAGCGGUGAAAUGCGUAGAUAUAGGAAGGAACACCAGUGGCGAAGGCGACCACCUGGACUAAUACUGACGCUGAGGUGCGCAAGCGUGGGGAGCAAACAGGAUUAGAUACCCUGGUAGUCCACGCCGUAAACGAUGUCAACUAGCCGUUGGAAGCCUUGAGCUUUUAGUGGCGCAGCUAACGCAUUAAGUUGACCGCCUGGGGAGUACGGCCGCAAGGUUAAAACUCAAAUGAAUUGACGGGGGCCCGCACAAGCGGUGGAGCAUGCGGUUUAAUUCGAAGCAACGCGAAGAACCUUACCAGGCCUUGACAUCCAAUGAACUUUCUAGAGAUAGAUUGGUGCCUUCGGGAACAUUGAGACAGGUGCUGCAUGGCUGUCGUCAGCUCGUGUCGUGAGAUGUUGGGUUAAGUCCCGUAACGAGCGCAACCCUUGUCCUUAGUUACCAGCACGUCAUGGUGGGCACUCUAGGGAGACUGCCGGUGACAAACCGGAGGAAGGUGGGGAUGACGUCAAGUCAUCAUGGCCCUUACGGCCUGGGCUACACACGUGCUACAAUGGUCGGUACAGAGGGUUGCCAAGCCGCGAGGUGGAGCUAAUCCCACAAAACCGAUCGUAGUCCGGAUCGCAGUCUGCAACUCGACUGCGUGAAGUCGGAAUCGCUAGUAAUCGCGAAUCAGAAUGUCGCGGUGAAUACGUUCCCGGGCCU
rnacentral:rRNA from 1 species